AAAUUGAAGAGUUUGAUCAUGGCUCAGAUUGAACGCUGGCGGCAGGCCUAACACAUGCAAGUCGAGCGGUAGCACAGAGAGCUUGCUCUCGGGUGACGAGCGGCGGACGGGUGAGUAAUGUCUGGGAAACUGCCUGAUGGAGGGGGAUAACUACUGGAAACGGUAGCUAAUACCGCAUAAUGUCGCAAGACCAAAGUGGGGGACCUUCGGGCCUCAUGCCAUCAGAUGUGCCCAGAUGGGAUUAGCUGGUAGGUGGGGUAACGGCUCACCUAGGCGACGAUCCCUAGCUGGUCUGAGAGGAUGACCAGCCACACUGGAACUGAGACACGGUCCAGACUCCUACGGGAGGCAGCAGUGGGGAAUAUUGCACAAUGGGCGAAAGCCUGAUGCAGCCAUGCCGCGUGUGUGAAGAAGGCCUUCGGGUUGUAAAGCACUUUCAGCGGGGAGGAAGGCGGUGAGGUUAAUAACCUCAUCGAUUGACGUUACCCGCAGAAGAAGCACCGGCUAACUCCGUGCCAGCAGCCGCGGUAAUACGGAGGGUGCAAGCGUUAAUCGGAAUUACUGGGCGUAAAGCGCACGCAGGCGGUCUGUCAAGUCGGAUGUGAAAUCCCCGGGCUCAACCUGGGAACUGCAUUCGAAACUGGCAGGCUAGAGUCUUGUAGAGGGGGGUAGAAUUCCAGGUGUAGCGGUGAAAUGCGUAGAGAUCUGGAGGAAUACCGGUGGCGAAGGCGGCCCCCUGGACAAAGACUGACGCUCAGGUGCGAAAGCGUGGGGAGCAAACAGGAUUAGAUACCCUGGUAGUCCACGCUGUAAACGAUGUCGAUUUGGAGGUUGUGCCCUUGAGGCGUGGCUUCCGGAGCUAACGCGUUAAAUCGACCGCCUGGGGAGUACGGCCGCAAGGUUAAAACUCAAAUGAAUUGACGGGGGCCCGCACAAGCGGUGGAGCAUGUGGUUUAAUUCGAUGCAACGCGAAGAACCUUACCUGGUCUUGACAUCCACAGAACUUUCCAGAGAUGGAUUGGUGCCUUCGGGAACUGUGAGACAGGUGCUGCAUGGCUGUCGUCAGCUCGUGUUGUGAAAUGUUGGGUUAAGUCCCGCAACGAGCGCAACCCUUAUCCUUUGUUGCCAGCGGUUAGGCCGGGAACUCAAAGGAGACUGCCAGUGAUAAACUGGAGGAAGGUGGGGAUGACGUCAAGUCAUCAUGGCCCUUACGACCAGGGCUACACACGUGCUACAAUGGCAUAUACAAAGAGAAGCGACCUCGCGAGAGCAAGCGGACCUCAUAAAGUAUGUCGUAGUCCGGAUUGGAGUCUGCAACUCGACUCCAUGAAGUCGGAAUCGCUAGUAAUCGUAGAUCAGAAUGCUACGGUGAAUACGUUCCCGGGCCUUGUACACACCGCCCGUCACACCAUGGGAGUGGGUUGCAAAAGAAGUAGGUAGCUUAACCUUCGGGAGGGCGCUUACCACUUUGUGAUUCAUGACUGGGGUGAAGUCGUAACAAGGUAACCGUAGGGGAACCUGCGGUUGGAUCACCUCCUUACCUUAAAGAA
rnacentral:rRNA from 1 species